rnacentral:rRNA from 1 species
GACGAACGCUGGCGGCGUGCUUAACACAUGCAAGUCGAACGGAAAGGCCCUGCUUUUGUGGGGUGCUCGAGUGGCGAACGGGUGAGUAACACGUGAGUAACCUGCCCUUGACUUUGGGAUAACUUCAGGAAACUGGGGCUAAUACCGGAUAGGAGCUCCUGCUGCAUGGUGUGGGUUGGAAAGUUUCGGCGGUUGGGGAUGGACUCGCGGCUUAUCAGCUUGUUGGUGGGGUAGUGGCUUACCAAGGCUUUGACGGGUAGCUGGCCUGAGAGGGUGACCGGCCACAUUGGGACUGCGAUACGGCCCAGACUCCUACGGGAGGCAGCAGUGGGGAAUAUUGCACAAUGGGCGGAAGCCAGAUGCAGAAACGUCGCGUGCGGGAUGACGGCCUUCGGGUUGUAAACCGCUUUCGCAUGUGAUGAAGCGUGAGUGACGGUAAUGGGUAAAGAAGCAACGGCUAACUACGUG